rnacentral:rRNA from 1 species
UACGUAGGGGGCAAGCGUUGUCCGGAUUUAUUGGGCGUAAAGCGCUCGCAGGUGGUCCGUCGCGUCGUGCGUGAAAGACCCCGGCUCAACUGGGGAGGGUCGUGCGAUACGGGCGGACUGGAGGCCAGUAGGGGGAUGCGGAAUUCCGGGUGUAGUGGUGGAAUGCGUAGAGAUCCGGAGGAACACCAGCGGCGAAGGCGGCAUCCUGGACUGGUCCUGACACUCAUGAGCGAAAGCGUGGGGAGCGAGUCCGG